GAUGAACGCUGGCGGCGUGCUUAACACAUGCAAGUCGAGCGAUGAAGCCCAGCUUGCUGGGUGGAUUAGUGGCGAACGGGUGAGUAACACGUGAGUAACCUGCCCUUGACUCUGGGAUAAGCCUGGGAAACUGGGUCUAAUACUGGAUAUGACUUCUCAUCGCAUGGUGGGGGGUGGAAAGAUUUAUUGGUCUUGGAUGGACUCGCGGCCUAUCAGCUUGUUGGUGAGGUAAUGGCUCACCAAGGCGACGACGGGUAGCCGGCCUGAGAGGGUGACCGGCCACACUGGGACUGAGACACGGCCCAGACUCCUACGGGAGGCAGCAGUGGGGAAUAUUGCACAAUGGGCGCAAGCCUGAUGCAGCGACGCCGCGUGAGGGAUGACGGCCUUCGGGUUGUAAACCUCUUUCAGUAGGGAAGAAGCGAGAGCGACGGUACCUGCAGAAGAAGCGCCGGCUAACUACGUG
rnacentral:rRNA from 1 species